rnacentral:tRNA from 1 species
GACUGUGUGGUCUAUUGGAUAGGGCACCUGAUUUCAGAUCAGAAGACUAACGGUUGGAAUCCGUUUGUGGUUC